rnacentral:rRNA from 1 species
GGGGAAUAUUGGGCAAUGGGGGCAACCCUGACCCAGCGACGCCGCGUGAAGGACGAAGGCCUUCGGGUUGUAAACUUCUUUGAUCGGGGACGAUAAUGACGGUACCCGAGGAACAAGCCACGGCUAACUACGUGCCAGCAGCCGCGGUAAUACGUAGGUGGCGAGCGUUAUCCGGAUUUACUGGGUGUAAAGGGCGUGUAGGCGGGUCGGCAAGUCGGAUGUGAAAUACUGAGGCUUAACUUCAGUCGGUCAUCCGAAACUGUCGAUCUUGAGUGUCAGAGGGGAAAGCGGAAUUCCUGGUGGAGCGGUAAAAUGCGUAGAGAUCAGGAGGAACACCGGUGGCGAAGGCGGCUUUCUGGCUGACAACUGACGCUGAGGCGCGAAAGCGUGGGGAGCAAAC